rnacentral:rRNA from 1 species
UACGUAGGUGACCAGCGUUGUCCGGAUUUACUGGGCGUAAAGAGCGCGCAGGCGGUCGUUCAAGUCGAGUGUGAAAGCCCCCGGCUCAACUGGGGAGGGUCACUCGAUACUGAUCGACUUGAAGGCUGGAGAGGGAAGCGGAAUUCCCGGUGUAGCGGUGAAAUGCGUAGAUAUCUGGAGGAAUACCGGUGGCGAAGGCGGCAUCCUGGACCGACAUUGACGCUGAUGAGCGAAAGCUAGGGGAGCAAACGGG